rnacentral:other from 1 species
GAAGUCCUGAUGUGUUCGUCUUAUAACCUAUUGUUUUGACCGAACAAUAAGUUAUAAGGGAGCUCGGAGUUUUCGAUUAGCGUAAAUGCCUUUGGCUAAAGGACUUACAAUCGUCGAAACAGAGCACCCACCUGCUGUGAGCGGGUUCAAAACGAAGGCAUCUGAAGACGGCACGAUUGGGACUUUC